rnacentral:rRNA from 1 species
UACGAAGGGUGCAAACGUUGCUCGGAAUUAUUGGGCGUAAAGCGCACGUAGGCGGCUUAGCAAGUCGGAAGUGAAAUCCCUCGGCUCAACCAAGGAAGUGCAUUCGAAACUGCGGGGCUUGAGUAGUUAAGAGGAUCGCGGAAUUCCCGGUGUAGAGGUGAAAUUCGUAGAUAUCGGGAGGAACACCAGUGGCGAAGGCGGCGAUCUGGGAACAUACUGACGCUGAGGUGCGAAAGCGUGGGGAGCAAACAGG